rnacentral:rRNA from 1 species
GAUGAACGCUAGCUACAGGCUUUAACACAUGCAAGUCGAGGGGAAACGACAUCGAAAGCUUGCUUUUGGUGGGCGUCGACCGGCGCACGGGUGAGUAACGCGUAUCCAACCUGCCCACCACUUGGGGAUAACCUUGCGAAAGUAAGACUAAUACCCAAUGAUAUCCCACGAAGGCAUCGGAAUGGGAUUAAAGAUUUAUCGGUGAUGGAUGGGGAUGCGUCUGAUUAGCUUGUUGGCGGGGUAACGGCCCACCAAGGCAACGAUCAGUAGGGGUUCUGAGAGGAAGGUCCCCCACAUUGGAACUGAGACACGGUCCAAACUCCUACGGGAGGCAGCAGUGAGGAAUAUUGGUCAAUGGGCGGAAGCCUGAACCAGCCAAGUAGCGUGCAGGAUGACGGCCCUAUGGGUUGUAAACUGCUUUUAUAAGGGAAUAAAGUUAGUCUCGUGAGACUUUUUGCAUGUACCUUAUGAAUAAGGACCGGCUAAUUCCGUG